CAAUAGCGUAUAUUUAAGUUGUUGCAGUUAAAAAGCUCGUAGUUGGAUUUCGGGUGGGACGCAGCGGUCUCGCAUUGCGUUUGUACUGCUGCAGCCCUCCUUCUUGCCGGGGGCGGCCUCUCGGACUUCACUGUUUGGGGGUCAGAAUCGGCGAUGUUACUUUGAGUAAAUUAGAGUGUUCAAAGCAAGCUUACGCUCUGAAUAUAAUAGCAUGGGAUAACACGACAGGACUCUGGCCUAUCGUGUUGGUCUAUAGGACCAGAGUAAUGAUUAAGAGGGACAGUCGGGGGCAUUCGUAUUCCGUUGUCAGAGGUGAAAUUCUUGGAUUUACGGAAGACGAACAUCUGCGAAAGCAUUUGCCAAGGAUGUUUUCAUUGA
rnacentral:rRNA from 1 species